rnacentral:rRNA from 1 species
UACGUAGGGUGCGAGCGUUAAUCGGAAUUACUGGGCGUAAAGCGUGCGCAGGCGGUUCGCUGUGUCCUAUGUGAAAUCCCCGGGCUCAACCUGGGAAUGGCAUUCGGGACUGCAAGGCUGGAGUGCGGCAGAGGAGACUGGAAUUCCUGGUGUAGCAGUGAAAUGCGUAGAUAUCAGGAGGAAUACCGAUGGCGAAGGCAGGUCUCUGGGCUGACACUGACGCUCAUGCACGAAAGCGUGGGGAGCAAACAGG